UAUCAAUUUUUCGGGACAGUCACAUCAGAACGAAGAAGCUUUAGGUGGUCAUCGGCAGCACUAUAAUAAAAACAAAUAUAAUAUAAUCAAACGAAAAAAUGAUUCGCAAUAUUUAUAUUUUUGUUAUUUUAAUAAGCAUCGUUAUUGCUUCACCUCCAAUGAUUUAUGAAAACUAUCGGCCAGAACACUCUAACUCCAUUAAUAUAUUGGAAAUCCCAAUAUCACUUUUGCAAAGUCUUCAAAACUCAUUAAGAGCCAUUCAAAUACCAAAAAUUACAUUGUAGCUUUUAUAUUUUGGAUUUAAAUUAAAAAAAAAUUGUAAUUGUUUUAAAAAAAUCGUUAAGAGAU